rnacentral:rRNA from 1 species
GGGCCCGCACAAGCGGUGGAUGAUGUGGUUUAAUUCGAUGCAACGCGAAAAACCUUACCUACCCUUGACAUGCCAGGAACGCUGCAGAAAUGCAGCGGUGCCCGAAAGGGAACCUGGACACAGGUGCUGCAUGGCUGUCGUCAGCUCGUGUCGUGAGAUGUUGGGUUAAGUCCCGCAACGAGCGCAACCCUUGCCAUUAGUUGCUACAUUCAGUUGAGCACUCUAAUGGGACUGCCGGUGACAAACCGGAGGAAGGUGGGGAUGACGUCAAGUCCUCAUGGCCCUUAUGGGUAGGGCUACACACGUCAUACAAUGGCGCGUACAGAGGGUUGCCAACCCGCGAGGGGGAGCCAAUCCCAGAAAGCGCGUCGUAGUCCGGAUUGAAGUCUGCAACUCGACUUCAUGAAGUCGGAAUCGCUAGUAAUCGCGGAUCAGCAUGUCGCGGUGAAUACGUUCCCGGGCCUU